rnacentral:rRNA from 1 species
CAGUACCUAGUAAAGAAGCCCCGGCUAACUCCCUGCCAGCAGCCGCGGUAAUACGGAGGGGGCUAGCGUUGUUCGGAAUUACUGGGCGUAAAGCGUACGUAGGCGGAUCANAAAGUAGGGGGUGAAAUCCCAGGGCUUAACCCUGGAACUGCCUCCUAAACUCCUGGUCUUGAGUUCGAGAGAGGUAAGUGGAAUUCCAAGUGUAGAGGUGAAAUUCGUAGAUAUUUGGAGGAACACCAGUGGCGAAGGCGGCUUACUGGCUCGAUACUGACGCUGAGGUACGAAAGUGUGGGGAGCAAACAGGAUUAGAUACCCUGGUAGUCCACACCGUAAACGAUGAAUGCCAGUCGUCGGGUAGCAUGCUAUUCGGUGACACACCUAACGGAUUAAGCAUUCCGCCUGGGGAGUACGGUCGCAAGAUUAAAACUCAAAGGAAUUGGCGG